UUCAGAGAAAGAAAAUCCACAAAAUAGAACCGGAAUCCUAUUCCAUUAUUCCUAGCUGGGGUAUUCAGGCAACCGGGCCUGCUUUGAACUGGGCCCAUGAUU